GAAAAAAGGCUGUGGAGGCAAGAGGAGCUCCAUAAGGACAGUUGGCACCUGUAAGAGGCCUUCCAGGUGGCAGUUUCUAAUAGGCACUCGCCUACAUGGGAUCUAGAGUUCUGGGGAGAGAUCCAGGCAGGAUGGUCAUUUUGCAGAUCUCACCACAAAAACGGCAGCUGAAGCCACAGUAUGGGGGAGAUCACACGAGUGAAAAAAAGGCAAAGGCAUUGCUCUGAGGAGCACCAGCAUUUGGGCAGUGGCAGAGGAACUACCAAGAAGGAAGUCAGAGAGAUGGGAGCAGAGUUUUUUGUUUUAACUCAACAGUGUGAGUGCAGCAGGUGGUCAGGUAGAUGAGGGCUGAAGAGAAGCCAGUGGAUGUGGCAGUUAGGACGCCAGUGAACAGAGGAGUGAUUAUUAAAAUUAGUACUAGCACGUUUUGCACAUGGGAUAAUUAAUACUAAUGUGUUUCACACAAGGGGAAGAAACCAGACUGAAGUGAGAGGGAAAUGAAGUAACGAAAGUGACUGGAGAGUGUUUUUCAGGAAGCAAUACUUACUCAUAGCUCCACGCCUCUGUCACAGCACGGGACCAUACCUACCAGCCUCCCAAAUCCUGCACUGCUCACCUUCCCCUCUGCCAAAUCACUGCUACUUACUAACACCUCUGGGAAGCUUCCUUAACCUUCCCAACAACUCAGGGUUGGCUUAAUAGUACUGUUACAGCAACACUAACAUACUAAUAACUUUAUAGUUGAUGCUGCAAUUCUGUUAAGCCAACUUUGUGGCUGGGAAUUCUCUCCUCAAACUGAUCUGUGGUUCAGAACCACAGUGGGCUUCCCUAUUGCAUCCCCAGUGUACCUGGGAUUGAGCUCUGUAUUUUAUGAAUGCUUAAGUAUUAUGUGGGCAAGAUGUUUUUCUCUGAAAAUAUGCCUAAAGAGGCUUGUUUUUAAGUCAGUGUUGGUUUUGACAGAUCAUUCCAGGGAAAUGGUUGCUAACUAGGAAAGGAAAAUACCAUUCACUGAAUCCUUUUGCAUUCAAUUCAAAACACCGUUUGGGUUACACACAGAGGCCCAGGAGACAGUAACAGGAGAAGGUGAUCCAGGAAAUAUGCUUUCCAAGGAAAUGAUUCAGAGAACAGUAGUAGCAAUCAGUGGCAGAGGAUUCCUACACUAUACAGAUGAGCGUUAAAAUUAGCAAUCUGCUGUUUCACAGCCUGACCAUUAAUCCCAAAGGAUUCCUCUCACUUUUGAAAUUCUUAAAUAGGUACUGAAGAAAAUUCUGAUGUACUCCUGAAUCAAGGAGUCUGAAUGACAUCAGCAUUCAGUUUCAUUUUAGUAUGCAGUACAGUUCAAGUUCUAUUAUUUUCUAACUUCUCCUAAGAGACGGGACACAGAAUUAGCUGUGAAUAGGACCAACACUGAGCCAGUGGUUCCCGACAUGUUUCUUGAAACUCAUGAGCCUUGAACGACGAUACAUUGUUAGGCUGCAUUUAACUAACCUCUGCCUGCAGUUCCCACCCUGGUUGGUCUUUGCCCCUUCCUCUUUGCCUGAGGGUCCUUUUCCUGACCCAGAGAAGGAGGUAAGAAGUGGGACCCAUAAGACUCCUUAAAUCUAAAUCCAGAGACAGAGCCCUGCUCUGGUGGACACAGGGAGCUGAGAAGUCCAUCCUGGGAGCUUGUGAGUUUCCUGGUCAACCCCAGGCUGAAAAAAAAUGGGGCUGAGCUACAAACAGUUGUAUAAAGGGUCCACCAGUUUACAGAACUUUCGUCGGCAGGUCUCCCCUUGGCCUAACUGCACUUACUGCAAGAGUGCCCACUGCCCAGUAACACUGAGCCAGGUGAAAAGAGCAUAGACGUGAGGCCAACAGAAGACAGUCUCUUUACAUGAACUCCAGUUCAGAAGACUUCUUCUCAGGGAACAAAAAAGCAGGUCCCAUCUUCCCUGAGAUGGUAAAGCAUUUUGCCUAAAGGUGGUCUUCAGCGUUUAACGGUUUGCAGACAAAAGGGUCAGAGGAAGCCAUCAGCACUCUGGCUCUUUGAAUUAUGAGCCACAGACUUACACUAUUGCUUUCACACAGUUUAUUCAGACAUUUAAAAGUUAAAAUGUGGGCAUUCCCCCCCAAAAACAAAUUAUCCCCUGCCACUCCCCAACACACAGACUACCUACCACCCUCCCAUUACCUCUCAUUGUCCAUGCUUACCACAUACUCUUGCAAAACACAUAGGGGUCAAGACCCCAACUAUUUGGUAAUCCAAAGAAGCUACAAAGUUACACAAAAGAAUCUCACUUCCUUUUCACUAGCAAACCAUGAAUGAAAGAAUAAGGGGAAACACAUUACCUUCAUCCAGAGUUAAUAUUUCCCUAAUAUUCUUUUUUCUUCCUCUAAGACAUUAAAACCCAAAGCAGUUUCACUUACUACUGUAACUCUGAUAGUCCAUUUUUCUUUUUCUUUUCUGAAUGGCUAAGCUAGGACAUACUUUCCUUUCAUAGCUGAUGUUAACAACUUCAAGACUGGCAGAAAGCAGUCUCCCAGCUGUGGCUUGGCUAUGACACUCUGCAACAGGCAAAGUUACCACAUAGGUGCAAAUGAUGCUUUAAGAGUUAUCAAAAUUUUUAAAAGUAAUAAUGCAUUAAUAUGGAGCCUCCACAUUUUUCUGAUGCAGCAAAAGUCCUCUAAAGGCGAUGGCAGCUGUGAAAGAAAAGGCACUUUGUGCUAAAAUUCAGAGGGUCUCUCUAGAGAACACCACAGCAGAGAGGCCUGGUCAGCCCAGGCCUGCACGUGACCCUUUAGGGUGAAGAGGACCAUCCCCCAGGAAGGCAUCUGCAAAGGAAAAAUUUGUAAUCAUGAUUCCAAGGCAAAAUGGUUACUUAAAGUUGGGAGAGGAGAAAUACUAAGAGGAUACAAAUACAGUUGCACCAGAUUGAGGCGUGAACUUCGCACGGAUUUGCAGGCUGGCUCUGCGCUUUGUAUUGGGCUCGUUCCUUCACCACUUGCAGGGAGGUCUGGACACGGAGCAGGAGCAGCACCUUAGCCAAGAGGGUUCGAGGCCUCCUGCUUCUGCCUGGGCUCUCCUUGCUGUGUUCCCAGGAAUAAACCGAGGUCCUUUUGGCAGCACUUGUGGGUAUUGCUAGUCCACGGCAACAUCCAAAGGGAUUUUCUAAUACAGCCGUGAAGAGAAAGUGAGGAUUUUCCACGUGAUCCAGGACUCCCUGGCAAUCAAUGCCCAGUGGCUUUUUGGGCCUUCUAAGAGCAACAAAGGAUCAAGCUGGUAUCUUCCCAUCAACACUCAGAAAAGCAGCGUCAUCAGAUGCAUCAUGGAAGAGAAUCCACUUACUAUCACAUUUCAGGAGUUUACCAUGACACGUUGGUAGGUUCCAUAAACCUCUUCGAAGCUCUUUCAAAACAGUUAUGUGAGAAGAAAACCAUGAUGUUGUACAAAGAACUGCUCGAUUUAGGAUCCCAUUUCAAGGAAACUACUUUGCUGCUUUCAUGUAGGAAGGUAUUGCCCCCCGUGCAGUCAGACCCUCAAAGCGCUUGUAUGUGUAAUUGAUGAAGACCCAGUCUUUGUUCUUGUAGUCAGUGUCAGGGUGAUUACUUGUUGCCACUGGGAAAGAAACAGAUGUGAGAGUUGAUUCACUGCCUUACCUUGAUGGACUACUCAGUACUGACACUCAGUACAUGACAUUCUGAAGAACAUAUCACAGCUUCUAUCUGGGAAAAGUUAUUUUUCACUCUGCGAAAUUUCUACAUUUGCCUGCCUAUGUUCUCUGAACCUCAUGUUUUUCACAAUAUUUUAAAAGUUUUAUUUUCUCAUUUCUGUCAUUUCAGAUUACCUAAUCUUUAAUUUAAUAAAUAACAAGAGAACAAAUCUUUGUGGUUCACCCAUCCAGCUGAGCAGGCUAAAUAUGGGUGUUUGUAUUCACUACUUUCCAUUCAACAAGGUCUCACUGCUGCCCUGCAUUAACACUGGAAAAAUACUUACAAAGAGCCUGCAGUUCCUCUCCAUGUUCUCUACCCUGAUUUGUAAACAUCACCCCAAAAUUUGGGGGAAAUAAUGCACUUAUAAGGCAGCCUGAGGCAGUGGUAGAAUUACCUGUUGGCUUAAGAAUAUCAGAUUCUGGAAACUCAUCGAAGUUUGAGGUAUCAUCAAUGCUUUUGAUUUCAAUAGAUAUUGCAGCAGGCCUCUCUCUGCCAAGGACAGACAUGCCAAAAAUUACUACGGUUAGUAAACAUAUGGAUCACAAGUAAUCAAGUCUUUCUCCAAAAAAGACCCCUGGUCUGACAAGGGAAGACUGUCCACUGGCAGGCAGCAUUAAUUUCCUUUGAAAAGCUUAUGACCACUGACCAACCACACCAGCUGACUACAACCAAACAAAACUAUGAUGAAAAAAAUGUAACAAUUAUUCAUAGCUAGGAAGAAAGACAAGAAAAAUAAGGAGAAAUUAAAAUCCAAAGUUAGCACACUCUCCCUGACAGCCUGCCCUGUCUGCUGAAAAGGGAAACUGAACCUCUAAAUGCCCCCUCGUGCAGGGCUCUGCCCCUCUUCUACCAGAAGUGCCAACGAAGUAGAGUGGCUAAAAGGCAAAGGUAGAAAUCACAAGCAUGCGAAUUAGAACACUACUAUGAAAGGGAUGACAACUUCAUCUUCUGCUCAACCAAUGAAUGCUGAGGAGGGAGGUCUGUGCAGCGCUGGCAGCUCUCUGCGAGCCCUGUCCGCAACAGUUUCACGUUUCCCCUCCACUCCCCCUCUGCGCCCUUCCCCACUCCAUCCUUCUUCCACUCCUCUCUUCCUUCUCUGUCUCCCAGUGAUAGCCUCCACCCUAGGGGCAGGGACAGUCCUGCUGGUGGCUCCUAACACUAGAGAAGUUGGUGUGUUCUUGGUAAAAGCAAGUGCAACACAAUGCUUAGGUGGUCCUUUCACCGUGGAAUCCAAAGUUCACUUCACUUUGGAAAUGACUGCUGGCUUCAACGUGUCCCAUGGCACAUGGGUGACAGGAAACCCCAACUCCCAAUCCUCGCCAUGAAUGAAAAUCAGGAAAAGACCCUGAAUUUCUAAGAAGCUCUCUUCCCAUACUUGGCUUGCCAGUAGUGGUGCUUCUAAAUUAGUAUUAAGCAAACUACAGACUUUCUGAAAUUAUCCUGAAACUUUGUAUACGGAUAUACCUGAUAUGUUCCCAGUCAACACCUUCAAAAAAAGAGUUACUUUUGAUUUCCUCAACUCCAGGGGCUCCAAUUCUAUGUUCCCAUUCACAGCAGAAUCUGGAAAAGACAGAGGCCUUUCAGCAUACCUCAAGUAGUCUCUUCAGAAAAAGAAAAGGAGAAAUGGGAGGAAGGGGGGACCAACCCAGGAAAUGAUGAAAAUUUUUAAAAAUAGAUUCACUCAUGUCGAAAAGCCUGGCUGGGGGACAGGGGAAAUGUUCUCUGAUACCUCAAAAUUAGAUCCUUGGCUUUCUCAGAAAUAGGAACUUCUGGAGGAAAAGUCAAAGUUUCUUUCCAGUUCAUCACCUUCUUAUAUGUCUCUUGAGGGGUCUCAGAACAGAAAGGUGGGUAGCCUGUAAUAAAAAGGGAACUUCGGAGCUCUCACAUCCCAGAACUUUGAAUCUGAGAUUAUUCCCCUUAAUCUGAUUCUAAUAUAUCUUUAAUGAUCCUAUAUGUCCUUCCCUACAUGACAUGGACAGGAUUUCCACUCACCCCAGGAAACAUCUAAACCAAUUGUUCAUUUUCCCCCAAACUCCUAAACCCAAAGUGAAGUUGUGCUUCUGGUACCACUAGGGAGCCAGCUACUAGCUGGAGCUGGAAAAAGGAAGGAGGACAGAAGCAGAGUUGCAGAGGCGGGGCUCACUGUGCCCAAAGAGGAAAACGAAAGGAUGAAACAACAUCAUUAAGAAAUGACUCCAUUCUAGGAAUAUCCUUAUUUGGGAAAAGUGACCACCAUGCCUCUCUUUGAGAACUACAGGUGAGAAGGAUAGUCACCGUAAUACUCCACCUGCCCUCUACACAGACCACAUCCGCCUCCACAGGCAUGUGUCCAGUGUUCCCAAAGACAACACAGCCAGACGAUGCCACACCAGUCAUUCACACAGAUUCACUCAGGGCCACCACGGACAGAUGGGCUCUCCUAGUGCUCAGGCAUAUGGCCAGCCCCACAGAUGUGUCCCCUAAAUACACAGACAUACCAAUCAACAGGGAGAGAGGUACGAGGGGUCCAUGCUCUGAAGGCUUUGAGAGAGAAGGGGGGACAGCAACUAAGAAGUAGAGUGCUCGAGACACAGCCCAGUGAAGGCUCUCUGUAUACAAUGGGUGUUUAAUAAAUGCCAGUGAAUGAAAGAGUUGCUAGAUGGAGAGGAUGGAAAAGUCGAAGAAAACCAUGAUAAAUGAUCAACAAAGCCACGAGAGGGUGCCAGGGAGCCCUAAUAUAGUGGGAUACAUUUGAUGGCCCAGCGUUUUCUACCUAGGAAACUUCACUUUAAAAGACGAGGGGGGAAAAGUGCUCUUAGAUGACCCCCACCUGAAACAGUCUAUUAUCAACAUAGGACUCUUUCCUGACUGCACAGAAAAAGUCCUCUGAAAGCACGCAACUUACCAAUGAGCAUUUCAUACAUGAUCACCCCCAGCGACCACCAAUCACAGAGCUUGUUGUACCCGGUCUGCAUGAACACCUCAGGAGCAAUGUAGUCAGGAGUGCCUACUGUGGAGAAGGCCUGAAACAUGUACACACAUCAGGAAGCCCAGCAGGAAGAUGGGUGCCCAGAGUUCUGUUCUAGAGACCAAAGGCUACAAGUAUCACCUAGAGCUACCCACAAACUAAAUAAGCAGGAUGGCCCAGCAGCUUAAUGGCAAGUCUGGCUUGCCAGAGAACUUCCAAAAUGAAAAUAAAGCUUUGUCAGUGAGGUGAGACCAUUCACUAGGUCAAAGGUAUCUGUCGUAGCAACUAGUACCAUAACUGAGCACCCAGUAAGUGCCAGGCCCUGUACUCCUUUUAUGCUUAUGAGCCUAUGACAAAACUCAGCAAAGAGGACCUUAUUCGCCCAACUUUGCAGAUAAAACUCUGACGCCCAAAACGGCUUUGCCCAAGGCCUCAGAACUAGUUAACUGGCAGAGCCUGGUUUGGAAAUUAAAUAUCUUGCUCAAAACCAUCCCUCUUUCCACCUCUUUAAUUUGGAAAAUCAUAAAGGGAAACUUUAUUAUCAAAAGCUAAAGUUAUAACCUAUUGGUCAAAGGUUUAUAAAUAUCUGCUUAUCAAACUGAAACAUUUAUGUAACUAGUUCUUAGAAGAGUAUUUUCUAAAUUCAAGUAAUCUACUCUCAUAUACCAGGACUACAAUACUAGGGGAAUUACAGUCAAAAAGCCUUCCUGUGCUCAGCAUUUGAGGGCUUACCACAUGGAAGGCUCUAAUCUAAGUGCUUUCCAUAUUAUACAACUUCUAAAGUUAAAAGCUACAGCUGUGUGGACUUUUAAAAAUAACUUAUUAUGAAAUACUGCAAAUAUACAGAAAAAAAAGCAGACAAUACAACAUCCAUGUAUACAUUACCCAUGUUAAAGAGAGGUUAAUAAUCUGUGAUAUUUGUCUCAGAUCAUUCCUUUUGAAAAGAAACAAAACUACAGAAAUGAUUAAAGCCAGAAUCCUCCUCUCCCCACUGAAGUCAUAACUAUCCUGAAAUCAUAACUACCCCUGUGCUAUGCUUGUAUGGAUAUUUGUAUAAAUGACAUAUAAUUUCUUGUAUAUUUCAACUUUUAAUAAAGGGUUUCAUACCGUACUGCA